GUCAAAAUGGAGCUGCAGCUGAGGCCAUAGCAACAGCAAAUCUGAGUCACAUGUGUGACGUAUGCCACAGCUUGCGACAUCACCAUAUCCUUGACCCACUAAGUGAGGCCAGGGAUCAAACUCACAUCCUCACAGAGGCAACGUCCGGUACUUAACCCACUGAGCCACAACAGGAACUCCUGGUUAUGUAUUUGAUACUGCUUUUAAUGACAUAUGAAAGUUGUAGUUGCCCACAUCCUUACCUGCACUUGAUAUUGUCUUUUUCAUUUUAGCUUUUCUAGUAGUCAUAUAAUGUUCUCUCAUAGUGGUUUUAUUUAUUUUUUUUAAUUUUAUUUUAUUUUUUGUCUUUUUUUUAGGGCCCCACCCACGGCAUAUGGAGGUUCCCAGACUAGGGGUCGAAUCGGAGCUAUAGCUGCCAGCCUACACCGCAGUCAUAGCCAUGCCAGAUCCAAGCUGUGUCUGUGACCUAUACCACAGCUCAUGGCAAUACCGGCUCCUUAACCCACUGAGCGAGGCCAAGGAUCAAACCUGGGUCCUCAUGGAUGCUAGUCAGAUUCUUUUCUGCGGAGCCACGAUGGGAAUUCCUCUCAUAGCGGUUUUAAUUUGUGUCUCUCUGAUGACUAAUGAAGUCAAGCACUGUUUCAUAUGUCUGUUUCUUAUUGACUUAUGGGGGCUCUUUAUAUAUUAUGUCUAUGAGUCCUUUGUCAGAUUUACAUCUAACAAAUCAUAUACAGCACCUGGUUAUUUACAGUCAUAAUGACGCCUUAUAGUUGAGUAGCAUUUGAUAGUUCCCAAAAUUAUAUUUCCAUAUACUAUCUCUUAAGAUCCUCACAACAACCCUGGAGGUAGAGAGACAAGGUAUUAUUAUCCUAAUUUAAAGAAGGGCAACCUGCCCAGGAUUACACAAGAGACAAAGGAGUGGGAGGAGUGCCUUGGUCACACCACCAAAUCAUGGUCAGAGUUGUUUCCUUGUAAUAGAAUGAUACAAUCAUGCAGUUCAGGAACUGGGCAAUGAGUAAACCCUGCUUUACCAGCUGACAAACACACAGUAUCUCACCGUAGGGCUAACUCUUGUUAGUCAAUGCAGGCCCCACAUGAAUAGGUCAGUUGGGAAACCCAGACCUCCCCUUCUCUCCUCCUGGCUCCACCCCCUCCCUGACACCUAGGAAUCACCAUGAUUAUGACCAGGGCUGAUUACUCUGGAAGGUGCCACCCUAGUGCUGUAGUUCCUGGGAGCCUGGUGUCAUGGCUACCUAUGAAACAUUCCAAAGUUACGCCCUUGGAAAGCAAUGCUCUCAUCAACUUCCACUGCUGCCCACAGGAUUUGAGCACAGUGUCCUUAUACCUUAAACAUGUACC
rnacentral:lncRNA from 1 species